GCAUUAGUGGUGUAGCGGUAACAUUCAACCCUUCCAAGGUUGGGCUCUGGGUUCGACUCCCAGCUAAUGCA
rnacentral:tRNA from 1 species